rnacentral:rRNA from 1 species
GACGAACGCUGGCGGCGUGCCUAAUACAUGCAAGUCGAACGGUCUUUUCUAUGGAAGCUUGCUUCCACUGAGAAGAUAGUGGCGAACGGGUGAAUAACACGUGGGUAACCUGCCCAUAAGAGGGGGAUAACAUCCGGAAACGGGUGCUAAUACCGCAUAGUUUUCUUGAUCGCAUGAUCGGGAAAGGAAAGACGGCCUUUGUGCUGUCGCUUAUGGAUGGACCCGCGGCGUAUUAGUUAGUUGGUGAGGUAACGGCUCACCAGGACGAUGAUACGUAGCCGACCUGAGAGGGUGAUCGGCCACAUUGGGACUGAGACACGGCCCAGACUCCUACGGGAGGCAGCAGUGGGGAAUCUUGCGCAAUGGGGGCAACCCUGACGCAGCCAUGCCGCGUGAAUGAUGAAGGCCUUAGGGUUGUAAAGUUCUUUUGCCCGUGACGAUGAUGACGGUAACGGGAGAAUAAGCUCCGGCUAACUUCGUGCCAGCAGCCGCGGUAAACUGU